rnacentral:misc_RNA from 1 species
GAAAUGUGAUAAGUAGUGUGAAUUGCAGAAUUCAGUGAAUCAUCGAAUCUUUGAACGCACAUUGCGCCCCUUGGUAUUCCAUGGGGCAUGCCUGUUCGAGCGUCAUUUGUACCCUCAAGCUCUGCUUGGUGUUGGGUGUUUGUCCCGUCUCCGCGCGUGGACUCGCCCCAAAGUGAUUGGCAGCCGGCGUACUGGUCCCGGAGCGCAGUACAUGUCGCGCAAACGAGUGCCUUGGUACGGCGGCGUCCAUAAGCCCCUCUCUCACGCUCUUGACCUCGGAUCAGGUAGGGAUACCCGCUGAACUUAAGC